GCGGGUUUAGCUCAGUUGGGAGAGCGUCAGACUGAAGUUUCAACUUCACUCAACAUCAACAGAGUUGAUAUCUGAAGGUCGUGUGUUCAAUCCACACAAACCGCA